UAAAUUCAGGGAAGUCCUAUGGCUGGUGUUAAGCAGGAGCUCAGACUAGAAGAUCUGACCUUCUUAAUCUAUGAAUUUACAGUAGCGAAGAACGAGUGUGACAUCUGUGCCCUGCCCUGCCCCAGCCUACCCCCGACAUACGCUGGAGUGUGCUGGCUGGCACAAGAAGAGCCUGGAAGAGCAGAUGUGUGAGGAGAUGAAAACAACUGAACAAUCUUACCACACUUCCAUUUGAAAUCUCUAAAAGCAGGAGCAUCAGUCUGCAGAGUACACAACUUUCCUGAGAUCAGUUAACUGUACCCACACCCAGCUCAUCCACCUCUGGAGAUUGUGAGUGAAUAGUAGGAUUUCCUGGAAUAAAUUUACUGAAUGAGCAUUGACCAAAAUGUUAAUAAAUGACUGCAGGGCAGUUAUUGAACAUAUAUCAGCUGUUAAAGUCUUCGUCAGCCCUGUUCAUUGUGCAGAAGGUCAAUUAUAAAGCAGACAGAUGAAGUUGCGGCAGAUCAAGAUCGAGGUCUGUGUAUCUAGAUACCAGAAUGCCAUCAGCUAAUUCUGAUUCCUGUCUUAGACAGAAAUUUGUUGUCACCCCUUCCUCCCCAUCCCCCAGGCCCCGUGUUAGAGGUAUAAAUCAUGCUGGCCAUCUGCGGAGGAGUGAUUUGCACCCCAAUGGAACUUGCCAGGCCUCUGUCUGUGCAGCAGGAUGUCUGUCUGGCAACUAAGAUAUGAGUGUUCAAGGCAGCAGCAAUGACAGCCGUUAAAAACAGCACAGGAAAAGAAAUUUAAGUUUUCAGUAGCUAAAAUUACAGCAUCUUCUUAACAUCAUUGGUUUGAUUUUUGUCACAAAUGAGGCGACGCUUCAACAAGCCUAGCAAGUUGCAGUCUUGCACCAGUUGAGAACAAGAUGACUGCAAGGGUGGGGUCAUGUCCAACAUACAGGUAGGUACACUUCUACAGACGGUUUAUAGAACUGAUGUUGAAGGAAGUAGAGCUCGAGGUCAACCAUAAAUGAGGUUGGCAGAUGCAAUUUUGAGGGAUUUAAGAAACCUGAAAAUCCUCUCCAUUCACUCUUGCCAAAGGAAAAAGACUUGCAAGAGAUUUUUCAAGAUGAAUGUACAUUCUAUGCACUGUCACAGCUAUAUCAUAGCUAUAUGACUCUGCUGCCACUCAUAGAGUCCUGACUCUUGAGAUCUUGUGGCAAUCAGUCCCAUAUGUGAAUUGUGUUUUUAAUUCUCCCAUUCAUACUAUCCCCCAACACCAGCAGUUUCGCAUCAAGGUGUGGGUGGAGCAGAGUCAGCUAUACCAGCUUGUCACAACAGAGGAAUUUUUUUGUCCUGUAAACAGAGGACUUGCCAAACUCAACAGUGCAAAGGGGACUCACUGAAUGUAAAGCAGGUUUAGGCCCAGAAGUAUAUAAGCACAAGAACUGCUCUUUUUAAUGCAAGCAUGCCUUGGAAGGCAUUCCAGUAUCAAGAUUGGAGGCAGAAAAAGAAAUCUCAGGCCAAAGACAGAUGGUGAUGGGUACUGAAUAUGGCUGCCAGAUGGAGAGGCAAAAUAUUAAAACUGCUUCUUUGUGAUUUAUUUUCCAUUGCAUUUCUGUAGUAUAUAUGAAUAAUAUACAGCAUUUGUUAUAGCAUGUAGCUCAGAGACAAAAGACCAU